rnacentral:misc_RNA from 1 species
AAUUAAAAUAAUAAUUAUGGGAAGAACUAAUGAAUUAACAACCGAAAAACGUGCUCAGAUUGUUAUUCUACGUGAACAAGAAUUGACACUGACUUCUAUUGCUUCACGUUUUAAUGUAACCCAUAGCUGUAUCAUAAAAACAUUGAAGCGAUAUCAUGACACUGGUAAUUUUAAAAGUAAAGCUAGAGCUGGACGACCAAAGGUGACUACUCAAAGGGCAGAUAAUCGCAUCCAUCGUUAUGCAAAAGCAUAUCCGUUUGCCAGUGCUUCUGAAAUUUCAUCUGAGGUAUUCCCCACUGGUGUUGCACCAAGUGUUGUGACCAUUAGAAGACGUUUGUGCAAACAAUUUCAUUUAACGAGCCAUGUUCCAGCAAAAAAACCUUGCCUUUCUCCAAAAAAUAUUAGAGAUCGUAUUGCCUUCUGUCAGAAAUACAAGGACUGGUCAGCAGAAGAUUGGGAGAAUGUAAUAUUUAGCGACGAAUCAUUAAUUGAACAAUUUGGUUGUCAUUCUACAAGCGUUAGACACCCGCCUUGCCAACGAUACAACCCCAAAUAUUUGAUUUUAACUGUAAAACAUUGCCCUAAAAUCAUGAUAUGGGGUGCCAUUACAGCCAAUCAAAGUGGUGGUUUAUGGUUUAUGCCUCCUAACACCACAAUAAAUGGCAUAAUUUAUCUUGAAAUACUUCAAGAAAAACUUAAAAUAUUCAUGAACAUCACAAAUACCCAAAAGUUUCAGAAUGACGGAGCACCCUGUCACAGGGCCAAGCUUGUAAGCAGUUGGUUACUUGAGAAUGGAGUUGAAGUCAUUGGCCCCUGGCCUGGUAAUUCACCGGACCUCAAUCCCAUUGAAAACUGCUGGAAUCAUCUUAAAAACGAAGUCCAGAAACUUAGACCAUCAUCUUUCGAUGAUCUACAAGAAAAAAUUAGACAGAUCUUCUUACAUUGACAAAGUAAAUACCUUGCUUGAGAAGCUUGAAAAUGCAAUAGAUGAGUGUCAAGUUUUUGAACUUGAAUCUGAAGUGCUAUCCAGCUUGCAAAUGUUCAAGGGCACCUUUAAUGGUUCAAGACCCAAGCUAUCAUUAUAUAUCCAAUUUUGGAAUGUGUUAAAGAAAAUUUGCCAGUGUAAGAAUUUCAGAAUACUUAAAGAGUCCAUAGUGCUUUUAAAAGAUUCAUUUUGCAGUUGUCCACUAACUCGUCAGUUUAUUACAAGCUUAUUUGAUAUGGGUCUGAUGCUUCUAAAACUUUUGAUCAAGUUUGUUGAUUCUGAAUUAAAACUAAUUCUUGUUGAUGCAUGUAAUAUGAUAUUUAUGAGACUGUAUUAUCAUUAUUUGAUUGGAGAUCUAACUGAGGAGUUUAAUCUUGCAUUGAAUGAUUUAAAUUUGUUAAAUAAAGAUAUUUAUGUUUUGGUAAAGGAUUACAAAGACUUAAAUUAUAAAAAGUAUGAAGAUAUAGAUCUCUUGAAUCUUCCAAAUAUUAUAUCUGAGAUAGGACAAACAGAUAAUUCGUGGAAAAAUAAUGAACCAAAAAAGCUUAACCCAUUUUUACUCCAUUGUCUUCACUUAUGGAAGAUUGUGUCAAGAAAAGCUAGAUUAAACUUGAAUGAUUUUUUACAUUUCAAAGAAGAAAAUCUAUCUAGUAUUGCCUAUGACAGCAAGAACUGGUUACACUAUGCAUUAGCAUUUGAAAUUUUAAGCGAGUGUGCUAUCAUAAAUCUCAAGUGCCUAAAGAUUUAUUUACAGCUUGGAUCUAAAUGUGGUUAUUUUUCAUCUAUUAACAAAGCUAAGAAGCUUUUAAAUACCCUAUCAGUUGGAAAUUUAUUUUCAAAAGAAAAAGAAUCUCUCUGUUUUGUUAAAAAUGGUGAUUUAAGUGUUUCUACAAGUCCUAAGUAUUGCGAUGGUAUUGGUAUUAGAUGGAGUCAUUUUACGAUAGCAUUUUAUCUAAAGUGCUUAAGCAAAGUUUGUAUAGCUGGUAUUACUACUGAUCAUCAAAAGUUAUCAUUAUUUGGUGGAAAGCACUAUUUUGGUUUAAUAGACUAUUUAGAUUGUGAUUCAGGUUAUGGUUCCUAUAAACCAGCAUCUAAAUCGUAUUCUGUUCACAAAUAUUGCUACAAAUUUAUCGAUAAUUCAAUUUGUCACAAACACUUCAAAAGCUCAACCUCGUACUCAAGCCAAGCCUAAUAUACAAAUUACCAAACGAUUAGAAAACUUGUCUGUAAAGUAUAUCUCACCUGUAAAACAACGGACAUCCAUUUUUAUUGGUCCUAACUUGCAUACCUUCGUUAAACGCAUGGCGCCAGAGUUAAAAAAUGUGGUAGCAGACCAAUAUAUAAAAGAGUUGAUGCAAGAAGAUGCUUUGAGAGAGGAGUAUGUUUUAAAAAAAAAAACGAAACAAAAGAGCCGGAGAAUGCAUAAUAUUUGAAAAAAAAAUUGUUGUUUA